AGAAGUUUGGAUCCUGGCUCAGAUUGAACGCUGGCGGCAUGCUUUACACAUGCAAGUCGAAUGGCAGCACGGGAGCAAUCCUGGUGGCNGAGUGGCGAACGGGUGAGUAAUACAUCGGAACGUGUCCUGUAGUGGGGGAUAGCCCGGCGAAAGCCGGAUUAAUACCGCAUACGCUCUACGGAGGAAAGGGGGGGAUCUUAGGACCUCUCGCUACAGGGGCGGCCGAUGGCAGAUUAGCUAGUUGGUGGGGUAAAGGCCUACCAAGGCGACGAUCUGUAGCUGGUCUGAGAGGACGACCAGCCACACUGGGAGUGAGACACGGCCCAGACUCNUACGGGAGGCAGCAGUGGGGAAUUUUGGACAAUGGGGGCAACCCUGAUCCAGCAAUGCCGCGUGUGUGAAGAAGGCCUUCGGGUUGUAAAGCACUUUUGUCCGGAAAGAAAACUUCGGGGUUAAUACCCCGGAGG
rnacentral:rRNA from 1 species